UACGUAGGGUGCGAGCGUUGCCCGGAUUUAUUGGGCGUAAAGGGCGCGUAGGCGGCCACGCACGUCCGUUGUGAAAUCGCCCGGCUCAACUGGGCGGGGUCAGCGGAUACGGUGUGGCUCGAGCAAGCUAGGGGGCAAUGGAAUUCCCGGUGUAGUGGUGGAAUGCGUAGAUAUCGGGAGGAACACCAGUGGCGAAGGCGGUUGCCUGGAGCUUUGCUGACGCUGAUGCGCGAAAGCGUGGGGA
rnacentral:rRNA from 1 species